GGCUCGAUUGAUGGUCGGUGAGCCUCGGGAUUGUGGUUAGUUUCCUUUAUUGGAAGGUAGUCACGAGAACCUGUCUAAACCUUAUCAUUUAGAGGAAGGUGAAGUCGUAACAAGGUUUCCGUAGGUGAACCUGCGGAAGGAUCA
rnacentral:rRNA from 1 species